AAAACUGUGUAAAGCCAAUCUUUUCUCUUAGCACAGACUAGUGCUAAUUUGUUGACACACAAGCACAUAGCAAGUACCAAGAAAAACAAUUGACACUGAACUAGAUUAAAAGCUAAAUUAAUGACAUCUUAAGGAAAUCUGUAAAAAGCCAAUCUUUUCUCUUAGCACAGACUAGUGCUAAUUAAGUGGACACACAAGCACAUAGCAAGUACCAAGAAAAACAAUUGACACUGAACUAGAUUAAAAGCUAAAUUAAUGACAUCUUAAGGAAAUCUGUGAAAAUCCAAUAUUUUCUCUUAGCACAGACUAGUGCUAAUUGAAUGGACACACAGGACAUAGAAAGUACCAAGAAAAACAGUUGACAUAAAACUAGAUAAAAAAUAUAUUUAAAUAACACAAUAAAGAAAACUGUGAAAAGCCAAUCUUUUCUCUUAGCACAGACUAGUGCUAAUUGAGUGGACACACAAGCACAUAGAAAGUACCAAGAAAAAUUACUGACAUAGAAUUAGUUGCAAAAUCUAUUUGAAUAACAAUAAAGAAAACUGUGUAAAGCCAAUAUUUUCUCUUAGCACAGACUAGUGCUAAUUGAGUGGACACACAAGCACAUAGAAAGUACCAAG
rnacentral:lncRNA from 1 species